rnacentral:rRNA from 1 species
GAUGAACGCUGGCGGCGUGCCUAAUACAUGCAAGUCGAGCGAACGGACGAGAAGCUUGCUUCUCUGAUGUUAGCGGCGGACGGGUGAGUAACACGUGGAUAACCUACCUAUAAGACUGGGAUAACUUCGGGAAACCGGAGCUAAUACCGGAUAAUAUUUUGAACCGCAUGGUUCAAAAGUGAAAGACGGUCUUGCUGUCACUUAUAGAUGGAUCCGCGCUGCAUUAGCUAGUUGGUAAGGUAACGGCUUACCAAGGCAACGAUGCAUAGCCGACCUGAGAGGGUGAUCGGCCUCACUGGAACUGAGACACGGUCCAGACUCCUACGGGAGGCAGCAGUAGGGAAUCUUCCGCAAUGGGCGAAAGCCUGACGGAGCAACGCCGCGUGAGUGAUGAAGGUCUUCGGAUCGUAAAACUCUGUUAUUAGGGAAGAACAUAUGUGUAAGUAACUGUGCACAUCUUGACGGUACCUAAUCAGAAAGCCACGGCUAACUACGUG